ACUCCUACGGGAGGCAGCAGUGGGGAAUAUUGCACAAUGGGCGCAAGCCUGAUGCAGCCAUGCCGCGUGUAUGAAGAAGGCCUUCGGGUUGUAAAGUACUUUCAGCAGUGAGGAAGGUGGAGUCGUUAAUAGCGGCCUCAUUUGACGUUAGCAACAGAAGAAGCACCGGCUAACUCCGUGCCAGCAGCCGCGGUAAUACGGAGGGUGCGAGCGUUAAUCGGAAUUACUGGGCGUAAAGCGCAUGCAGGUGGUUUGUUAAGUCAGAUGUGAAAGCCCGGGGCUCAACCUCGGAAUUGCAUUUGAAACUGGCAGGCUAGAGUCUUGUAGAGGGGGGUAGAAUUUCAGGUGUAGCGGUGAAAUGCGUAGAGAUCUGGAGGAAUACCGGUGGCGAAGGCGGCCCCCUGGACAAAGACUGACGCUCAGGCACGAAAGCGUGGGGAGCAAACAGGAUUAGAUACCCUGGUAGGCACUGCU
rnacentral:rRNA from 1 species